CAGCAGUCGUACAAUGGGCACACGGACCUGCACAUUUAUAAAAGGAUCUAAUGAAUGCUCUUGUACAAAAAUACUACCUCACUGUCCCCAUAUGAGAUUCUAUUUGGGACUGCACCUAGGCUAGGUUGCUAUUUUCCCCAACAACUACAACUUCAAACUGAUGUUUUAGUAGAUUAUGUAACUGAACUCGCAAAAUGCUUUGAACAAAAUCCAUGCCCAAGUUUUCUCUUCAAUUCCAGAUCCUGAUUCUGACACAGGCAACCACAGUCUGCUCCCCGGUGACUGGGUUCUGGUCAAGAAAUUUGUGCGAAAACACACCCUGGAACCAAGAUUUGACGGACCAUUCCAAGUUCUCCUGAUCUCCCCUACCUCUGUCAAAUUGGCCGGAAGGCCUAACUUGAUCCACGCUUCCCAUUGCAAGAAGACACCUGCCCCAGAGGAAGCUAACUCUAUGCA